rnacentral:rRNA from 1 species
AUUGAACGCUGGCGGCAGGCCUAACACAUGCAAGUCGGGCGAGUGGCGGACGGGUGAGUAAUGUAUGGGGAUCUGCCCGAUGGAGGGGGAUAACUACUGGAAACGGUAGCUAAUACCGCAUACCAUCGGAUGUGCCCAGAUGGGAUUAGCUUGUAGGUGGGGUAACGGCUCACCUAGGCGACGAUCCCUAGCUGGUCUGAGAGGAUGACCAGCCACACUGGAACUGAGACACGGCCCAGACUCCUACGGGAGGAAGCAGUGGGGAAUAUUGCACAAUGGGCGCAAGCCUGAUGCAGCCAUGCCGCGUGUAUGAAGAAGGCCUUCGGGUUGUAAAGUACUUUCAGCGGGGAGGCGUUACUCGCAGAAGAAGCACCGGCUAACUCCGUGCCAGCAGCCGCGGUAAUUC